AUUGAACGCUGGCGGCAUGCCUAACACAUGCAAGUCGAACGAGUGGCGGACGGGUGAGUAAUGCCUGUGAACCUGGGUUAUGGAGGGGGCUAACUACGGGAACCUGUAGCUACUACCGCAUACCACAGGAUGAGCCCACGUGGGUUUAGGUAGUUGGUGAGGUAAAGGCUCACCAAGCCGACGAUCCCUAGCUGGUCUGAGAGGAUGACCGGCCACACUGGGACUGAGACACGGCCCAGACUCCUACGGGAGGCAGCAGUGGGGAAUAUUGCGCAAUGGGCGAAACCUGACGCAGCAAUGCCGCGUGAAUGAAGAAGGCCUUCGGGUUGUAAAGUACUUUCGGUAGGGAAGCGUUAACUACAGAAGAAGCACCGGCUAACUCCGUGCCAGCAGCCGCGGUAAUUC
rnacentral:rRNA from 1 species